ACUCCUACGGGAGGCAGCAGUAGGGAAUCUUCCACAAUGGGCGCAAGCCUGAUGGAGCAACACCGCGUGAGUGAAGAAGGGUUUCGGCUCGUAAAGCUCUGUUGUUAAAGAAGAACACGUAUGAGAGUAACUGUUCAUACGUUGACGGUAUUUAACCAGAAAGUCACGGCUAACUACGUGCCAGCAGCCGCGGUAAUACGUAGGUGGCAAGCGUUAUCCGGAUUUAUUGGGCGUAAAGAGAGUGCAGGCGGUUUUCUAAGUCUGAUGUGAAAGCCUUCGGCUUAACCGGAGAAGUGCAUCGGAAACUGGAUAACUUGAGUGCAGAAGAGGGUAGUGGAACUCCAUGUGUAGCGGUGGAAUGCGUAGAUAUAUGGAAGAACACCAGUGGCGAAGGCGGCUACCUGGUCUGCAACUGACGCUGAGACUCGAAAGCA
rnacentral:rRNA from 1 species